UGGGCCUUCCUCAACUUAUAGGGCAACCAAAAAGGUAAAAAGGUUUGUUUUGUUGUCCAUAGGGUUGGGGCUUUGGGGCUACUGGACAUUACAGUUGUACAUGUGAUUUGUGUGUGGGUAAGGGUGCGAGAGGGGAAUGAAUCAAUAAAGUUUAUUAUACAUGGAAUCAGGGGCUGAAAAGCUCUUGCGUCUUAAUCCUGACAUAGCUCACUGAUAACAUUAAGGUUCUCACUCUUUGCCUCUUUUGCAUAAGGUAGGAAGGGAGGUAAAUACAUAUUUUUUUAAUAUUUAACUGACAUUGCAUUUAAGUGAUAAAGGCUUGUUUAAAAAAAAUAAAUGACGGACCUAAGCGGGAGUUGGAGCGGCAUCGCUGACGGCGAAAUAAUCAUUUAAACGGACAAACGGAGGCGGUCACUGAGGAUGGGAAAGCAAAAGACAAGCAGGGAGACAGAGGCCAAAGACAGAUGUUGUAUAGCUAGAUUAUUUGCUAAAGCCUUUUAGAGAUUGGCAUUCUGAAAAUAAAUGCAUUAAAUGAA